CACAACUGUGCUUCCCCUCCCCACCUCAUUGGCAGUACAGGUUACAGGAUAUUCCCCCUCCUUUUCACCAAAACUAAACAGAUUUUUUUGGAGAAAGAAAGCUUGUUGCAACAUUAUCAGAGACAAAAAAACCUCAAGUGAGUUGUGCCUCAGUAUGUUGCUCCUGUCAACCUGCACUGACUGAAGACAGCCCCCUUUUUCCUCUGUCAGAAAAUCUGCAGUGAAUGCAAGGGAAGAACGUAUGUCACUUUUCCUACAGAGGAAAGGACAUUGCAACAUUCUGUUCACCAGGAAGAAAGAUAAGGAAUUUCCUAGUACUUCUGAUGAAGUUCUCAUGUUGUAUUGGAAGUCACAAGGAUUCCCAUUACUUCUUAAAGACAAAUGCUGUGGAACAUUGAUCUAACUGGACUGUAUUCUGACCCCAUCUUAGCCACCUUCACCGGUCUUUUGGCCACUGUUCUCCCAAAUUCCACAUGGUUCCCUCAACAUCAAGGGAAUCUUCAGGGGGUCACUUUCUCACAGGAGACGGGGAAGAUGUAAACAACUGUGUUGACCCAAACCUCAGCCUGGCUUUUGGUAUGAGAACACAUUAGGGAAGAAGAAGAAGAAACAUAAACACUUUUGUAUACACGCCUCCCCUGUCUCACAGAAGAGAGGGAACAUUUUAAUUAUAGCAGGGAAAUAGUAGUACCAGGUGUGUAAACAAAACUUCCAGUUCAACCAGCUCCCAGAUGUUUUCUUCCGGCACCAAAGGGCAGCAGCUAAUUAUUCUGACAUCCGGGAAGCAGACUCACAUUAAGGAAACCAUUGAAGAUGUCGCUCCAAGAACCAACAUGAUGGAGGUUGUCAAGAAUUACCACCACAGGAAGGUCAGCACUACUGUUAUCAGCGUUGUACUGUUCAACCAAAUUAGCAAGAUAUUGUUGCACAUCCUUAAAGAAAAGAAGAACAAUGCAGUGAGAUAGUGAACAGUUCUAUUUCACCAUAACAUUUCAUCUCUUUUCCUGAAGAAGUGGAACUGGAUUACUUGGGUUCAUGUCACCCAUGAAACAGACAGACAGACAAGAAAAACAAUAAUUUUGUGUGAUGUUGGAAAAACAGAGAAAAGAAAUUUGCUGAAUUGAUUAAGAGAAGGGUUUAAAACUCCAGCACACGACAUGGAAUAACCUGAAUUCCAAGCAUCUCAACAGAAUCAAAGAACGACAGAUUGCUAGCGAUGAGACACAAGAGCAACCAAUUUCUACGUGAUAAAAGAGCACAGUAUACAGACUUCAUGUGUCUGAGGAGAGAGAGCUCCUGAGGGCUUCGGACACGCUGGACCUGCCUCCCCCCCCCCCAUUUUGCAUGACUUUCACAAUGUCUGCUUAUGGAUGCAUAACUGGAUUUGUACAUCAAGGAAAACGUCUGAACAGAGAACCUGGAUGUUCCUCACUGUUACACUCCAGUUUGAUAGCACAGCCAGGGCAAGGAC